AGGCGCGUAGCUCAGGCGGUCAGAGCGCUGCCCCGACGAGGCAGAGGUCGGCGGUUCGAGUCCGCCCGCGCCUACCA
rnacentral:tRNA from 1 species